GCCGGCCCGGCCGCGUUGGCCGGGUUUCCACCUUACUUCCCUGUGCUUAGAAUUUGCAGCCGCAUCUCCCGGCGCUCGAAGCCAAUUUCACGGCCUCUGGGCUCGGCGCGGUGUGCGCGAUCAUAAACCGGCCCGCGCCCACGGAAACAGCGCCGAGGGGGCGGCCGAAAUGAGGACCCGCCGAUGCCCCGUGUUUUCGAUGGGAAGGAGAGGACUUGGGUGAAGAGCUGCCGCAGCACCUGAGACUCCACUGCUGCCACCGCCGCUGCUGUUACCGUGGGGACCUGCCUGAGACCAGGCCAGGGACAGAGCUUCACUGGUCAGAGGGGCUCCUUCCACCUGCAGAGAUCUGGUAAGAACAGGGUCCUUCUCACGGUGUGUGAGUGUGUAGCUGUGUGUGAUCACGGCUCACAUGACCU
rnacentral:lncRNA from 1 species